rnacentral:rRNA from 1 species
AUUGAACGCUGGCGGCAGGCUUAACACAUGCAAGUCGAACGAGUGGCGGACGGGUGAGUAAUGCUUGGGAAUCUAGCUUAUGGAGGGGGAUAACUACGGGAAACUGUAGCUAAUACCGCGUACCAUAGGAUGAGUUCAAGUGGGAUUAGGUAGUUGGUGAGGUAAAGGCUCACCAAGCCGACGAUCCCUAGCUGGUCUGAGAGGAUGACCAGCCACACUGGGACUGAGACACGGCCCAGACUCCUACGGGAGGCAGCAGUGGGGAAUAUUGCGCAAUGGGGGAAACCUGACGGAGCCAUGCCGCGUGAAUGAAGAAGGCCUUCGGGUUGUAAAGUUCUUUCGUUAGCGAGGCGUUAACUACAGAAAAAGCACCGGCUAACUCCGUGCCAGCAGCCGCGGUAAUUC